rnacentral:lncRNA from 1 species
CCGCUCCCCGCCUCCUGCUGGGCGCGGCCCAGGCUGCUCUGGACGGGCUGUCCAAUAACACUGACGCCCGCCUCUCCGGGGUAACCGUCGCCGCCACCCCAGCAGGCCUGCUGACGCCUCAGCGCCGCACACUGACCGGCCCGGGCUCGCAGAUGGGGAACCGAGGCCUCGUGGUCACACCUAGCUGCACGGAGAAGGCACGAUGUUAAGUGGAGAGUGGACACAUCCGACCACAGUUAUUUUCAGAAGUAUUAUCAUCAUUAUUAUUUUGAGAAGAGGAGCAGGAAGAUCUGGACACAGAGACACAGGCUCAUCGGAAGAAGGCUGAGUGACAGGGGAGAGAAUACUGUGGCUGCUGACUGGGGAGCACCAAGGACUGCACAGCCGCAGACGCCCAGAGAGACCCGGACCAACUGUCCUCCAGCAGGACCAUGAGGAGGCCCGGAGACAUCGUAAAAGCGAUCCCUCAGCAACCCCCGGAACUUGCUGUGCACCAGGUGGCCAUCCAGUGGUUACCAUCAAAUCUCGCUUAAUCUUCCCUGCAGCUCCACGGGGCAGGGCGAUGAUGAGGUCUGGAGCUUUGCAGGUGGGGCCUGGUGAAAGAGGUGGCCUGGGGCGGGGCCUGGAAGAGUUUAUCUCCCUCCUGGCUCCACCCUCUCUCUCCACUUCCUAUCCACCGUGAUGAGCAGCUCUCCUCCGCCAGGCCCCUCUGCCAGGCCAGCUGGCCUUGAAGCAGCCAACUGUGGACUGAAGCAUAAGCCAAAAUAAACCUCUCCUCCUUAAGCUGUGGUUGUUGGGUACUUUGUUCUAGCAGCAAGAAAGUGACUAAGCAACUUGUCUUCCAGGGCCUCCCGAGCAACAGU